ACCUCGUUCUGGGGGAUAACCCAUCGAAAGGUGGGCUAAUACCGCAUAAUCCGGCUGAAUUUUGGUUUGGCCGGCAAAGGUGGCCUCUUCAUGAAAGCUACCGGGAAGAGAUGAGUCCGCGUCCCAUUAGCUUGUUGGUAGGGUAACGGCCUACCAAGGCGACGAUGGGUAGCUGGUCUGAGAGGACGAUCAGCCACACUGGAACUGGUACACGGUCCAGACUCCUACGGGAGGCAGCAGUGAGGAAUAUUGCGCAAUGGGGGAAACCCUGACGCAGCGAUGCCGCGUGAGUGAAGAAGGCCUUCGGGUCGUAAAGCUCUGUCAAGUGGGAAGAACAGCCUAUGGACGAAUAAUCCAUGGGUCUGACGGUACCACUGAAGGAAGCACCCGCUAACUCCGUGCCAGCAACCGCGGUAAGACGGA
rnacentral:rRNA from 1 species